GGCGCGUGGGAGCGUGAGCUUCAACGUGAGGCUUUUGGCUAGGUUUGAGUUUCGGAGAGGUGGGUGGAGGCUGAGGCGGAGGCUCUUGAGGGUUUUGUGCCGUGGCGUGGCGGUUUCUGUUUCGUCGAAAGGCGGGUUGGGUACUUUGGGCGGUGGGUCAAGAGAUUGCCAAGUUGUUGUUUGAGAUGGGGGCAAUGCGUGUGGUGCAAAUGAGGUCAAGUAGAGCUCAUUUGCCUUUCAUGGCUCUUGGUGUUUUUUGAUGGAGGCUUGCUUAGAAAAUGGAUGGAGGCAACAUUAUUUAGUACAAACUAGAAAGAAACAGAGUAGUUGCUUAGAACAUCUGUCUCAUGCUCGUUUUGGCUUUGGUUAUUAAACUCGUUGAAUCCACCUUACGAGUGGUUGUUUAGAACAUCUAUAGGCUUUGCUGAUCCUAGUGGAUUUGGAAAUGGAUGGGAUAUAUGUUCAAAAAUCAAGAGCUUUUUU